rnacentral:rRNA from 1 species
GACGAACGCUGGCGGCGCGCUUAACACAUGCAAGUCGAACGGAAAGGCCCUGCUUUUGUGGGGUGCUCGAGUGGCGAACGGGUGAGUAACACGUGAGUAACCUGCCCUUGACUUUGGGAUAACUUCAGGAAACUGGGGCUAAUACCGGAUAGGAGCUCCUGCUGCAUGGUGGGGGUUGGAAAGUUUCGGCGGUUGGGGAUGGACUCGCGGCUUAUCAGCUUGUUGGUGGGGUAGUGGCUUACCAAGGCUUUGACGGGUAGCCGGCCUGAGAGGGUUACCGGCCACAUUGGGACUGAGAUACGGCCCAGACUCGUACGGGAGGCAGCAGUGGGGAAUAUUGCACAAUGGGCGGAAGCCUGAUGCAGCAACGCCGGGUGCGGGAUGACGGCCUUCGGGUUGUAAACCGAUUUCGCAUGUGCCGAAGAGUGAGUGACGGUAAUGGGUAAAGAAGCACCGGCUAACUACGUG